rnacentral:rRNA from 1 species
ACGAACGCUGGCGGCGUGCUUAACACAUGCAAGUCGAACGGAAGGGCCCUGCUUUUGUGGGGUGCUCGAGUGGCGAACGGGUGAGUAACACGUGAGUAACCUGCCCUUGACUUUGGGAUAACUUCAGGAAACUGGGGCUAAUACCGGAUAGGAGCUCCUGCUGCAUGGUGGGGGUUGGAAAGUUUCGGCGGUUGGGGAUGGACUCGCGGCUUAUCAGCUUGUUGGUGGGGUAGUGGCUUACCAAGGCUUUGACGGGUAGCCGGCCUGAGAGGGUGACCGGCCACAUUGGGACUGAGAUACGGCCCAGACUCCUACGGGAGGCAGCAGUGGGGAAUAUUGCACAAGGGGCGGAAGCCUGAUGCAGCAACGCCGCGUGCGGGAUGACGGCCUUCGGGUUGUAAACCGCUUUCGCCUGUGACGAAGCGUGAGUGACGGUAAUGGGUAAAGAAGCACCGGCUAACUACGU